rnacentral:rRNA from 1 species
CGCUUAAUUGGACUUUCACAAAGCACAUACCUUGACAAGAUUUUGAAGAAAUUCAAAAUGGAUCAAGCAAAGAAAGGAUUCUUGCCUGUAUUACAAGGUGUGAAAUUGAGUAAGACUCAAUGCCCGACCACUACAGAAGAUAGAGAGAAUAUGAAAGAUGUUCCCUAUGCAUCAGCCAUAGGCUCUAUCAUGUAUGCAAUGCUGUGUACCAGACCUGAUGUGUGCCUUGCUAUAAGUUUAGCAGGGAGGUACCAAAGUAAUCCAGGAGUGGAUCACUGGACAGCGGUCAAGAACAUCCUGAAAUACCUGAAAAGGACUAAGGAUAUGUUUCUCAUAUAUGGAGGUGACAAAGAGCUCACC